GUGAACAUUCAAAUUGUGAGCUUUGUAUUGCAAUGCGCGCUGUUUAAACCGUUCGUAUCAUUUCUAAUUCAGUUCGUUGUAUUUAGGAUGAACUGAACAGAAAAAUCAUUGAACAAAAAUUUAAGACGAAUC